GCGAAGAGGCUAAACGCGGCGGACUGUAAAUCCGCUCCUUCGGGUUCGGGGGUUCGAAUCCCUCUCUCUCCA
rnacentral:tRNA from 1 species